GGCCUCCAGUCCAACUCGGUAUUGGCUUACGCAGAAACGGAACAUCCCGUAGUCCGUUGAGUACCUAGAAUUAUAAGCUGAUGUUCAAUGAGAGCUUCUUACAGAAAAAAGGUUGGAAAAUACUGUAACUUUCUAGAUGGACAGUGAUGCACAGCUCAGCUCCAUCAACAAAUAGCUUCAAUGCUGUAUUUGUUAACUGCCAUAAGUAUUUGUUUUUGACUUUUUUGCAGGUGUCAUGAGUAGUGAAAUUUCAGCCAUCUCAGCUUCAUCAAACACCAUAAAAGAACUGCUCACGGUUUUCUGCUGGCACGUAGAACAUAUUCUGAGCUGGUACCCCGCAUUCACCACCUGAAUCAAGAUUUCCAUAGAAAGAUCCUGAUCCAGGCCAAUCUCUUUUGUGGCUACCACUGCAACCACAAAUUAGUAGCAUCAGAAACAUAUAAAAACUGUAUCGUUUUAUUACUUGAUCUAUUGUCGAAUUGGAAUCCUGGAGAACCUCCCAACCAUGUAAGGCACAGUAGAAGCAAUGGGCUCAACCUGUGCAGUGAAUUGGUCGCAUUGUGAAAGAUAGCCAUUGGCAUAUGAGCUGGUUUGUUGUGUUAAGUGAACCAGGCUCAAAGUCAUUGGACUCAUUUGAACCAUCAACCUCAGUCCGUUGAGAUGACUAUAAUGUGGUGUGGUGUGACCCAUGAUUGACAUAAAUUAAGAAGAUUUGGUGGGCUUGGCUUGAUGACAACAUUGUUUUUUUUGUGUCUGUACACGAUGGCAGCAGUGCUUUCGCCUUAUGUGUGCUGCUCUUCAGGUCUCUAUGGAUGACAUCGCCCCCUCUCCCGCUAUUAUUAAUUUAAUUUGUAGCGAGACUGACAUGAUGAUGAUAAGAUGACGGAUCGCCAUGUCAACAUGGGAUGCUCAUCAUCGAAUGAUUUUAUCUAUAAUUUGCGAUGUGUUUUGUGAGAUGAGUCGGGCGAUGGAAGUUGGUCAACAUGCACCAGAGGUCGAGGCUGCUGAAGCAUCAGAUGAAGAUGUUGAGGCCUACAUCGGCAAAGCCACCGGUGGUGUGCUGAUUUAUCUAUUACUUUUCUUAAACAACAUAUAUAGAAAUUGUCCCACUCCUGUUUACUACACAAAGAUGUUAAGUGUAUUGCAACACAAUAAAUGUUUUUAUGACUAAGUUUUAAUCCAAAAUAUUUCGAGUUUAGUUAUGUAUUGGUUAUUAUUACUCCAGUCCAAUCAUGGUUAUUACCUGUUUAUAUAUCUGCCAGGAUAUUUACUCCUUUGGUGAACGCAGAGAUGAAUUGAGACAAUAAUGGAAUGGUGACCUUCAAGGAAUUCCUUUUUGCUUUUACUCAACCGAAGAUUAGGCGUUCUGAAUCGAUCGAGCCAGCCCCUCAGGAGGCCUCCAGCAGCUCCCUCCUGUCGUGCCUCGGAAGUAGUAGCUCAUGUUCUAUAUGUGGCGAGCUGAUGGUAGAAAUUACCAGGUUCAUUCUCUUCUGUGAUAUGUGAAGCUCGAGUGAAAAGAAAAAUUAUGUGAUGAGAACAUAGCAGCUGAAGUUGGAAUAUAUUGAGAUGUCUAUAAUGUGGUGUGGUGUGACCCAUGAUUGACAGAUUAAGAAGAUUUGGUGGGCUUGGCUUGAUGACAGGCGACAGCAUUGUUUUUUUUGG